rnacentral:rRNA from 1 species
AACGAACGCUGGCGGCAGGCUUAACACAUGCAAGUCGAACGGGCACCUUCGGGUGUCAGUGGCAGACGGGUGAGUAACGCGUGGGAACGUACCCUUCGGUUCGGAAUAACCCGGGGAAACUCGGGCUAAUACCGGAUACGUCCGCAAGGAGAAAGAUUUAUCGCCGAGGGAUCGGCCCGCGUCCGAUUAGCUAGUUGGUAGGGUAAUGGCCUACCAAGGCGACGAUCGGUAGCUGGUCUGAGAGGAUGAUGAGCCACACUGGGACUGAGACACGGCCCAGACUCCUACGGGAGGCAGCAGUGGGGAAUAUUGGACAAUGGGCGAAAGCCUGAUCCAGCCAUGCCGCGUGAGUGAAGAAGGCCCUAGGGUUGUAAAGCUCUUUCAGCGGGGAAGAUAAUGACGGUACCCGCAGAAGAAGCCCCGGCUAACUUCGUGCCAGCAGCCGCGGUAAUACGAAGGGGGCUAGCGUUGUUCGGAAUUACUGGGCGUAAAGCGCGCGUAGGCGGAUUGUUAAGUCAGGGGUG